rnacentral:rRNA from 1 species
GAUGAUCAGCCACACUGGGACUGAGACACGGCCCAGACUCCUACGGGUGGCAGCAGUGGGGAAUUUUCCGCAAUGGGCGAAAGCCUGACGGAGCAAUACCGCGUGAGGGAGGAAGGCUCUUGGGUUGUAAACCUCUUUUCUCAGGGAAGAACACAAUGACGGUACCUGAGGAAUCAGCAUCGGCUAACUCCGUGCCAGCAGCCGCGGUUAAUACCGGAGGAUGCAAGCGUUAUCCGGAAUGAUUGGGCGUAAAGCGUCCGCAGGGUGGCCUUGUAAGUCUGCUGCUAAAGAGCGAGGCUCAACUUUGUAAAGGCAGUGGAGACUACAGGGCUAGAGUGCGUUCGGGGCAGAGGGAAUUCCUGGUGUAGCGGUGAAAUGCGUAGAGAUCAGGAAGAACACCGGUGGCGAAGGCGCUCUGCUAGGCCGUAACUGACACUGAGGGACGAAAGCUAGGGGAGCGAAUGGGAUUAGAUACCCCAGUAGUCCUAGCUGUAAACGAUGGAUACUAGGCGUGGCUUGUAUCGACCCGAGCCGUGCCGUAGCUAACGCGUUAAGUAUCCCGCCUGGGGAGUACGCACGCAGGUGUGAAACUCAAAGGAAUUGACGGGGGCCCGCACAAGCGGUGGAGUAUGUGGUUUAAUUCGAUGCAACGCGAAGAAUCUUACCAAGGCUUGACAUGUCGCGAAUCUUCUUGAAAGGUCAGAGUGCCUUCGGGAGCGC